rnacentral:rRNA from 1 species
GAUGAACGCUGGCGGCGUGCCUAACACAUGCAAGUCGAACGGUCCGCAAGGACAGUGGCGCACGGGUGAGGAACACGUAGCUGACCUGCCUCAGAGAGCGGGAUAACGGGUCGAAAGACCUGCUAAUACCGCAUAAGCUCACGGUGUUUGGAAGGCUGUGAGAAAAGGAGCAAUCCGCUUUGAGAGGGGGCUGCGACCCAUCAGGUAGUUGGUAAGGUAACGGCUACCAAGCCGACGACGGGUAACGGGUCUGAGAGGAUGAUCCGUCACACUGGGACUGAGACACGGCCCAGACUCCUACGGGAGGCAGCAGUGAGGAAUAUUGCGCAAUGGGCGAAAGCCUGACGCAGCGACG